UUAGUCUCUAUUUGUAU
rnacentral:sRNA from 1 species